rnacentral:lncRNA from 1 species
AGGAACCCUAGAGAGCAGCAGUGAGUAUAGGGUCAGAACCUGCAGAGUUAGCACAGAGUCAGCCAGAGGUGAGUGGAACUUACUUUAAUGUUUUAAUAUGAGAAAUGAACAUUUUAUCAUGUUUCAUGCAUCAUGACUAUGCUAUAGGCUGAGUGCAUUAGUGUACACGAAGAUGAUGCAUUGCAUUUAUCCUUGAUUCUAUGACUGUAUGGACAUAGUAAGGAUUCAAUAGCCCUCAGAGGAAAGACCUGGAACAGCCCUACGGGGACCAGGCAUAAAGACCUGGAACAGCCCUACGGGGACCAGGCACAAAGACCUAGAACAGCCCUACGGGGACCAGGCAUAUGGUAUAGAGGGAGUGUUGAUCCGUCCAUGCUGAGAUGUGAUUACUUGUGAUGUGAUACAUUGCAUGAGAGCAUGUUUUAUCACCUGUGCUUUAUUACUGUUCUACUCACUGGGCUAUAGUAGCUCAUCCCUCUCCCCUAACUCUAGUUGUGCAGGUUCAGAGGUCAGAGGUUAGCAGGGUACAGGAAGAGUAUUUUGUAAUAGCUAGUGUGGACAUGUAAAUGUAAAGAGAUAAUGUAUGUGUACAGUGUAUAGAAUGGUGCUUGAUUAUAAGAGUUGUAAUCCCUUUUUGUGUUUUCACAUGAUCAGUGUAUGGUG